GAUGAACGCUGGCGGCGUGCCUAAUACAUGCAAGUCGAGCGAACGGACGAGAAGCUUUCUUCUCUGAUGUUAGCGGCGGACGGGUGAGUAACACGUGGAUAACCUACCUAUAAGACUGGGAUAACUUCGUGAAACCGGAGCUAAUACCGUAUAAUAUUUUGAACCGCAUGGUUCAAAAGUUAAAGACGGUCUUGCUGUCACUUAUAGAUGGAUCCGCGCUGCAUUAGCUAGUUGGUAAGGUAACGGCUUACCAAGGCAACGAUGCAUAGCCGACCUGAGAGGGUGAUCGGCCACACUGGAACUGAGACACGGUCCAGACUCCUACGGGAGGCAGCAGUAGGGAAUCUUCCGCAAUGGGCGAAAGCCUGACGGAGCAACGCCGCGUGAGUGAUGAAGGUCUUCGGAUUGUAAAACUCUGUUAUUAGGGACGAAAAUAUGUGUAAGUAACUGUGAGGAUCUUGACGGUACCUAAUGAGAAAGCCCCGGCUAACUACGUG
rnacentral:rRNA from 1 species